rnacentral:rRNA from 1 species
GUCGAGCGGACUUGAAGGAGUGCUUGCACUCCUGAUGGUUAGCGGCGGACGGGUGAGUAACACGUAGGUAACCUGCCCAUAAGACUGGGAUAACCCACGGAAACGUGAGCUAAUACCAGAUAGGCAUUUUCCUCGCAUGAGGGAGAUGAGAAAGGCGGAGCAAUCUGCCACUUAUGGAUGGACCUGCGGCGCAUUAGCUAGUUGGUAAGGUAACGGCUUACCAAGGCGACGAUGCGUAGCCGACCUGAGAGGGUGAUCGGCCACACUGGGACUGAGACACGGCCCAGACUCCUACGGGAGGCAGCAGUAGGGAAUCUUCCGCAAUGGACGAAAGUCUGACGGAGCAACGCCGCGUGAGUGAUGAAGGUUUUCGGAUCGUAAAGCUCUGUUGCCAGGGAAGAACGCCUAGGAGAGUAACUGCUCCUAGGGUGACGGUACCUGAGAAGAAAGCCCCGGCUAACUACGUGCCAGCAG